CCCUUAGAUGUCCUGGGCCGCACGCGCGUUACACUGAUGCAUUCAACGAGCUUAUAACCUUGGCCGAGAGGCCUGGGCAACCUUGUUAACGUGCAUCGUGAUAGGGAUAGAUUAUUGCAAUUAUUAAUCAUAAACGAGGAAUGCCUAGUAAGCGUGAGUCAUCAGCUCACGUUGAUUACGUCCCUGCCCUUUGUACACACCGCCCGUCGCUCCUACCGAUUGAAUGUGCUGGUGAAAAGUUCGGAUUGGGAAUAGGAGACGGCAACGUAUCCUGUUUCUGAGAAAAUCUUUAAACCCUCCCAUUUAGAGGAAGGAGAAGUCGUAACA
rnacentral:rRNA from 1 species